GACAACAUUCGGAAACGGAUGCUAAUACCCCAUAGGUGGAUUGGUCGCAUGACGAAUUCAUUAAAGGUGGCUUUGCUACCACUCAUGGAUAGCCUCGCGGCGUAUUAGCUAGUUGGUAAGGUAAUGGCUUACCAAGGCAGUGAUACGUAGCCGACUUGAGAGGGUGAUCGGCCACACUGGGACUGAGACACGGCCCAG
rnacentral:rRNA from 1 species